rnacentral:rRNA from 1 species
CAGUCGCCGCGGUAAGACAGAGGAUGCAAGCGUUAUCCGGAAUUACUGGGCGUAAAGCGCACGUAGGCGGCUUUGUAAGUUAGAGGUGAAAGCCUGGAGCUCAACUCCAGAACUGCCUUUAAGACUGCAUCGCUUGAAUCCAGGAGAGGUGAGUGGAAUUCCGAGUGUAGAGGUGAAAUUCGUAGAUAUUCGGAAGAGCACCAGUGGCGAAGGCGGCUCACUGGACUGGUAUUGACGCUGAGGUGCGAAAGCGUGGGGAGCAAACAGGAUUAGAUACCCCCGUAGUCCCUGUCUCUUAUAC